rnacentral:rRNA from 1 species
GUGGGGAAUUUUGGACAAUGGGCGCAAGCCUGAUCCAGCAAUGCCGCGUGCAGGAUGAAGGCCUUCGGGUUGUAAACUGCUUUUGUACGGAACGAAAAGCCCUGGGUUAAUACCCUGGGGUCAUGACGGUACCGUAAGAAUAAGCACCGGCUAACUACGUGCCAGCAGCCGCGGUAAUACGUAGGGUGCGAGCGUUAAUCGGAAUUACUGGGCGUAAAGCGUGCGCAGGCGGUUUUGUAAGACAGAGGUGAAAUCCCCGGGCUCAACCUGGGAACUGCCUUUGUGACUGCAAGGCUAGAGUACGGCAGAGGGGGAUGGAAUUCCGCGUGUAGCAGUGAAAUGCGUAGAUAUGCGGAGGAACACCGAUGGCGAAGGCAAUCCCCUGGGCCUGUACUGACGCUCAUGCACGAAAGCGUGGGGAGCAAACAGGAUUAGAAACCCGAGUAGUCC